rnacentral:rRNA from 1 species
GAUGAACGCUGGCGGCGUGCCUAAUACAUGCCAGUCGAGCGAACAGAUGAGGAGCUUGCUCCUUUGACGUUAGCGGCGGACGGGUGAGUAACACGUGGGUAACCUACCUAUAAGACUGGGAUAACUUCGGGAAACCGGAGCUAAUACCGGAUAAUAUUUUGAACCGCAUGGUUCGAUAGUGAAAGAUGGUUUUGCUGUCACUUAUAGAUGGAUCCGCGCCGUAUUAGCUAGUUGGUAAGGUAACGGCUUACCAAGGCGACGAUACGUAGCCGACCUGAGAGGGUGAUCGGCCACACUGGAACUGAGACACGGUCCAGACUCCUACGGGAGGCAGCAGUAGGGAAUCUUCCGCAAUGGGCGAAAGCCUGACGGAGCAACGCCGCGUGAGUGAUGAAGGUCUUCGGAUCGUAAAACUCUGUUAUUAGGGAAGAACAUACGUGUAAGUAACUGUGCACGUCUUGACGGUACCUAAUCAGAAAGCCACGGCUAACUACGUG